rnacentral:rRNA from 1 species
CCUACGGGGGGCAGCAGUGGGGAAUAUUGCACAAUGGGCGGAAGCCUGAUGCAGCAACGCCGCGUGGGGGAUGAAGGACUUCGGUAUGUAAAGCCCUGUCAGCAGGGAAGAAGGGUACGGUAUCUGACCAAGAAGCCCCGGCUAAUUACGUGCCAGCAGGCGCGGUAAUACGGGGGGGGCAAGCGUUAUCCGGAUUUACUGGGUGUAAAGCGAGCGUAGACGGCAUGGCAAGUCAGGAGUGAAAGCCCGAGGUCCAACCGCGGGACUGCACUGGAAACUGGGAGACUGGAGUGCAGGAGAGGUAAGCGGAAUUCCUGGUGUAGCGGUGAAAUGCGUAGAUAUCAGGAGGAACACCGGUGGCGAAGGCGGCUUACUGGACUGUAACUGACGUUGAGGCUCGAAGGCGUGGGGAGCAAACAGGAUUAGAUACCCCAGUAGUC